rnacentral:rRNA from 1 species
CCUACGGGAGGCUGCAGUAGGGAAUGUUGCGCAAUGGGGGAAACCCUGACGCAGCAACGCCGCGUGAUAGAUGAAGACCUUCGGGGUGUAAAGAGCUGUCAGUGGGGACGAAACCUGACGGUACCCACAGAGGAAGCACCGGCUAACUCCGUGCCAGCAGCCGCGGUAAUACGGGGGGUGCAAGCGUUGUCCGGAAUCAUGGGGCGUAAAGAGUUCGUAGGUGGCACGGUAAGUCUGGUGUUAAAGGCGGAAGCUCACCUUCCGUAGGGCACUGGAUACGGGCGAGCUUGACUGCGGUAGAGGUAACGGGCAUUCCUGUUGUAGCGGUGCAAUGCGUAGAUAUCAGGAG